GCCUCAUUAGCGCAGUAGGCAGCGCGUCAGUCUCAUAAUCAAAUGUAGAAAUCUGAAGGUCAGUGAGUUCGAUCCUCACACGGGGCA
rfam:Nematostella vectensis strain CH2 x CH6 NEMVEscaffold_773_Cont32794, whole genome shotgun sequence.